rnacentral:rRNA from 1 species
ACGGAGGGUGCAAGCGUUGUUCGGAAUUAUUGGGCGUAAAGGGCGCGUAGGAGGUUGUGUUAGUCAGAUGUGAAAUAAUUCAGCUUAACUGAAGAACUGCAUUUGAUACUGCAUGACUAGAGUACAGGAGAGGGAAAUGGAAUUCCCGGUGGAGAGGUGAAAUGCGUAGAUAUCGGGAGGAACACCAGUGGCGAAGGCGAUUUCCUGGCCUGAUUCUGACCCUGAGGCGCUAAAGCGUGGGGAGCAAACAG